AGAGUUUGAUCCUGGCUCAGAUUGAACGCUGGCGGCAUGCUUUACACAUGCAAGUCGAACGGCAGCACAGGGAGCUUGCUCCCGGGUGGCGAGUGGCGCACGGGUGAGUAAUACAUCGGAACGUGUCCUGUUGUGGGGGAUAACUGCUCGAAAGGGUGGCUAAUACCGCAUGAGACCUGAGGGUGAAAGCGGGGGAUCGCAAGACCUCGCGCAAUUGGAGCGGCCGAUGCCCGAUUAGCUAGUUGGUGGGGUAAAGGCUCACCAAGGCGACGAUCGGUAGCUGGUCUGAGAGGACGACCAGCCACACUGGGACUGAGACACGGCCCAGACUCCUACGGGAGGCAGCAGUGGGGAAUUUUGGACAAUGGGGGCAACCCUGAUCCAGCAAUGCCGCGUGAGUGAAGAAGGCCUUCGGGUUGUAAAGCUCUUUUGUCAGGGAAGAAAAGGACUGGGUUAAUACCCUGGUUUCAUGACGGUACCUGAAGAAUAAGCACCGGCUAACUACGUGCCAGCAGCCGCGGUAAUACGUAGGGUGCGAGCGUUAAUCGGAAUUACUGGGCGUAAAGCGUGCGCAGGCGGUUCUGUAAGACAGAUGUGAAAUCCCCGGGCUUAACCUGGGAAUUGCAUUUGUGACUGCAGGACUAGAGUUCAUCAGAGGGGGGUGGAAUUCCAAGUGUAGCAGUGAAAUGCGUAGAUAUUUGGAAGAACACCAAUGGCGAAGGCAGCCCCCUGGGAUGCGACUGACGCUCAUGCACGAAAGCGUGGGGAGCAAACAGGAUUAGAUACCCUGGUAGUCCACGCCCUAAACGAUGUCGACUAGUUGUUGGGUCUUAAUUGACUUAGUAACGCAGCUAACGCGUGAAGUCGACCGCCUGGGGAGUACGGUCGCAAGAUUAAAACUCAAAGGAAUUGACGGGGACCCGCACAAGCGGUGGAGUAUGUGGUUUAAUUCGAAGCAACGCGAAGAACCUUACCUGGUCUUGACAUCCCGAUGCAUAACGGGUAAUGCCGUUAGUACUUCGGUACAUUGGAGACAGGUGGUGCAUGGUUGUCGUCAGCUCGUGUCGUGAGAUGUUGGGUUAAGUCCCGCAACGAGCGCAACCCUUAUCUUUAGUAGCCAGCGAGUAAAGUCGGGCACUCUAGAGAGACUGCCGGGGAUAACCCGGAGGAAGGUGGGGAUGACGUCAAAUCAUCAUGCCCCUUAUGACCAGGGCUACACACGUGCUACAAUGGCGUAAACAAAGGGAAGCGACCCUGUGAAGGCAAGCGAAUCCCAAAAAUAACGUCCCAGUUCGGAUUGUAGUCUGCAACUCGACUACAUGAAGCUGGAAUCGCUAGUAAUCGCGAAUCAGCAUGUCGCGGUGAAUACGUUCCCGGGUCUUGUACACACCGCCCGUCACACCAUGGGAGUCGGAAAUGCCCGAAGUCGGUGACCUAACCGAAAGGAAGGAGCCGCCGAAGGCAGGUCUGGUAACUGGGGUGAAGUCGUAACAAGGUAGCCGUAUCGGAAGGUGCGGCUG
rnacentral:rRNA from 1 species